CGGCCACACAAGUCCAUCGGGAAAUCCGCCAGCCCAACUGGCGGGCGUCCGGUGGAAACUGUGUGGCUCGGGAUCGGAAGACCCAACGGGUACGUCUUGGGUAGGAGUGAAAUCCCGUAAUCCUGGACGGACCACCGAUAGCGAAAGCACGUUGGGAAGACGAAUCCGACGGUGAGGGACGAAAGCCAGGGUCUCGAACCGGAUUAGAUACCCGGGUAGUCCUGGCCGUAAACGAUGUCUGCUAGGUGUGGCUCCCACUACGAGUGGGUGCUGUGCCGUAGGGAAGCCGCUAAGCAGACCGCCUGGGAA
rnacentral:rRNA from 1 species